GGAGGGUUAACCCUAACUGGUAAGGGCGCAGUCUUGAAAAUUGCCGCGCAUAAUGCGCUUGAGAGUUCGAGUCCCUCACCCUCCGCCA
rnacentral:tRNA from 1 species